rnacentral:rRNA from 1 species
AUGGAGCCGACCUUGAAAUACCACCCUUUAAUGUUUGAUGUUCUAACGUUGACCCGUAAUCCGGGUUGCGGACAGUGUCUGGUGGGUAGUUUGACUGGGGCGGUCUCCUCCUAAAGAGUAACGGAGGAGCACGAAGGUUGGCUAAUCCUGGUCGGACAUCAGGAGGUUAGUGCAAUGGCAUAAGCCAGCUUGACUGCGAGCGUGACGGCGCGAGCAGGUGCGAAAGCAGGUCAUAGUGAUCCGGUGGUUCUGAAUGGAAGGGCCAUCGCUCAACGGAUAAAAGGUACUCCGGGGAUAACAGGCUGAUACCGCCCAAGAGUUCAUAUCGACGGCGGUGUUUGGCACCUCGAUGUCGGCUCAUCACAUCCUGGGGCUGAAGUAGGUCCCAAGGGUAUGGCUGUUCGCCAUUUAAAGUGGUACGCGAGCUGGGUUUAGAACGUCGUGAGACAGUUCGGUCCCUAUCUGCCGUGGGCGCUGGAGAACUGAGGGGGGCUGCUCCUAGU